rnacentral:rRNA from 1 species
GAUGAACGCUAGCGGCAGGCUUAACACAUGCAAGUCGAGGGGCAACACGGGUAGCAAUACCUGGUGGCGACCGGCGCAAGGGUGCGUAACGCGUGAGCAACAUGCCCUAUACAGGGGGAUAAUCCAGGGAAACUUGGUCUAAUAUCCCAUAGUAUUUAGAGGUGGCAUCACCACUAAAUUAAAGCUUCGGUGGUAUAGGAUUGGCUCGCGUGACAUUAGCUGGAUGGUGGGGUAACGGCUCACCAUGGCGAUGAUGUCUAGGGGUUCUGAGAGGAAGACCCCCCCACACUGGGACUGAGACACGGCCCAGACUCCUACGGGAGGCAGCAGUGAGGAAUAUUGGACAAUGGAUGGAAAUCUGAUCCAGCCAUGCCGCGUGCAGGAAGACGGCCCUAGUGGGUUGUAAACUGCUUUUUAUAUGGGAGCAAUAAGGUUUACGCGUAGACCGAUGAGAGUACCAUAUGAAUAGCAUCGGCUAACUCGU